rnacentral:misc_RNA from 1 species
GAUGAAGAACGCAGCGAAAUGCGAUAAGUAAUGUGAAUUGCAGAAUUCAGUGAAUCAUCGAAUCUUUGAACGCACCUUGCGCCCUUUGGCCAUUCCGAAGGGCAUGCCUGUUUGAGUAUCAUGAACACCUCAACUCUUUAUGGUUUUCCAUGAUGAGCUUGGACUUUGGGGGUUUUGCUGGCCUAUGGUCGGCUCCUCUAAAAUAAAUCAGCUUACCAGUGUUUGGUGGGUAUCAUGGGUGUGAUAACUAUCUACGCUUGUGGUUUUCCCACCAGGUAACCUUCGACCGCGGAGGUUCACUGGAGCUCAUAGAUGUCUCUCCUCAGCGAGGACAGCCCUUUGAAUGUUUGAUCUCAAAUCAGGUAGGACUACCCGCUGAACUUAAGCAUAUCAAUAAGCGGAGGA